GUUUGACAUUGUUUUUCCAAUCACUGAAGAUGUUGAAGAGUAGGCAAUAUGAAGAGCCUUUGAACAUUGUCCCUGCAGCUCACCACAAGACAAAAUGAGGAACUUAAUGAAGCCACAGCAGCAGAUUAUUUAGCAGAUAACCUCACUCGAAGACCAACAGAUGCAGCACGCAUUUAUGUCAACGUGGAACCCACACCCGGAACCGUGUGAGCCAGUGUGGGCACCGUAUCAUCCUAGUUUAUAGAACCUAGUGAAGGUGUGAGAGGUUGCCCAGCUGGCAGCGUCACAUAUGUCCUCCACAGGCAUACCCUGGAACAGCACACAGGAUGAGGCCAUAAAUCAA